GGCGGGGUGGCAGAGUGGUCAAUGCUGCGGCUUGCAAAGCCGUAUAAGUCGGUUCGAUUCCGUUCCCCCCGCCUCCA
rnacentral:tRNA from 1 species